rnacentral:sRNA from 1 species
GGGAAAAGUGUGAAAAUUCAAGUAAUCAAGCAAUCAAAGGUGGUGAGCAUUUUGGCAAAAGUAAAGAGAUAGUACCCGAGGUUCAAGAAUCGAAGUACUUGAAAUUCGACUCCCGAAAUAGCUCAGGAUAGUCGGUAGAUAGCUCAUUUCUUUGAGGGC